GACCUGAUCUAUCAUCUUCUCCAGCUCGAUCGAACUCACCCAGAGAGCAAAAAGGGGGCAGCCUGAUGUGGAGGAUACGACAGAGAAAAGAGAAAGAGGGCCCUAAUCUGAGGUUCUCCAGGAAAAGCCAGGAGCAGUUCGACGAAAGUGAUUCUGAAGAGAGUAGUUCAGAAGAAGAGUUUGAGUCCCCUAGCUCGGAUGAAAAUUCCUACGGUGAGAGCGAUUAAGACCAAGGCAGAGUCACUGAACAGGUUAUUGAAGAUCUCAACCUAGAAGCUUUCUUCAACCUCCGACUUGACUGUUCCUCUCCUCAAGUUCAGUCGAGCCUCGAACCUACCCGACUCAAGUUCGAUCGGGUAAAAUGGACGAUCUGCACUCAAGGGAGAAGAACCUAGACCAGAUUCAAUCACAGACACAGGGGAAUUUAGUAAUAAAGCAGGAAUAAAGUACCAGAACCAGGUCAAUCCCAAGUGAUUCAGCCGGAUUACUCCCUAACAGAAGCACUUGCAGAGUCGAGUUUUGGGGCUGUGGUCAGAGAUCCCCCCUCGAGUCCUUCCGCCUUAUCCACCCCAGGGGCACAAGGUUUGUCAGUUCAGAAAAUGUCAGAAUGAAUUCGCCUUGGAGUCUCCCAAUGUUGGGGCUGUAGCAAAAGUAGCCAUGAUUACUGGGACUUGGGAUGGAAGAUGGAUAAAGGAAAACCUCUCUAUUUCAUAGAUUGGUUGUGAAGUUGUAAGUUUUAAACAGUAGAGGCUUCACUGUGUUUGAGGAAUGCUGAGUGGGGCUCUUAGUAUAUUUCUAUAGUCUUUCCUUCUAUGUAAUAUUUCAGCCAUGAAACAUUUGUGGGGAAUAUCUACAACAUCUGCCGCUUGCUCUGCUCCCAUACAUGCUGGUUCGCAGGGUUACAGAGGAAAGGUAAAAAGCUGGUAGUGGGCACCCUUUUCAUGGAGUGAAUCCAAAGGCCUUGGGACCAAGGAAUAGGGCGUGGGGGACACACAUCUCUAAUCUGAGACAACCAGAUGAAAUCAGGGAGAUCUGUGAAGCCGUGUGCUAUCAUUGUCGGCCAUUUGUAAAGUGGGGAGUUUAGGUAGGUAGGGUUAUGCUCUGAGGAACUGGAUGCAACCCUAGGAAAGUUGGUUUGCUUGAAGCCCUUUUUCCACUGAGCCUCAGUUUGCUAAAAAUGUAAUAAUAAAAGAACAACUUUAUGUUACAGAAAUAUAUAUAUUCCACUAUCGGUGUCAUAAAAUGCA